GACGAACGCUGGCGGCGUGCUUAACACAUGCAAGUCGAACGGAAAGGCCUGCUUUCCCUUGUGGUAUGCGGGUACUCGAGUGGCGAACGGGUGAGUAACACGUGAGUGAUCUGCCCCCAACUUGGGUAUAAGCCUGGGAAACUGGGUCUAAUUCCCGAUAGGACUGCAGGGUGGUGCCUGUGGUGGAAAACGAUUUUCUAGUGGUUGGGGAUGAGCUCGCGGCCUAUCGGCUUGGUGGUGGGGUAAUGGCCUACCAAGGCGGCGACGGGCAGCCGGCCUGAGAGCGUGCACGGCCGCACUGGGACUGGGUCACGGCCCCUACUCCUACGGGCGGCAGCAGUUGUGAGUCUUACGCCAUGGGCGUAAGCCUGAUGUAGCGACGCCGCGUGGGAGAUGUCGGCCUUCGGGUUGUAAUCUGCUGUCGACCGCGAGGAAGCCACCUGGUUGGAAGGGUGGUGACGGUAGUGGUAGAAUAAGCACCGGCUAACUACGUG
rnacentral:rRNA from 1 species